rnacentral:rRNA from 1 species
GACGAACGCUGGCGGCGUGCUUAACACAUGCAAGUCGAACGGAAAGGCCCUGCUUGCAGGGUGCUCGAGUGGCGAACGGGUGAGUAACACGUGGGUGAUCUGCCCCUUACUUUGGGAUAAGCCUUGGUACCUGGGACUAAUACUGGAUAGGAGCAUGCUGUCGGUUGUGUGGUGGAGAGAUUAGUUUCGGUAAGGGAUGAGCUCGCGGCCUAUCAGCUUGUUGGUGGGGUAUUGGCCUACCAAGGCGUCGACGGGUAGCCGGCCUGCGGGGGUGGAAGGCCACAUUGGGACUGAGAGACGGCGCAGACGCCUACGGGAGGCAGCAAGGGGGAAUAGUGGAAAAUGGGCGCAAGCGUGAUGGAGCGACGCCGCGUGGGGGAGGACGUGCUUCGGGUUGUAAGGUCCUUACGGCCAUGACGAAGCCCUGGUGGUGACGGUAGUGGUAGAAGAAGCACCGGCUAACUACGUG